GCAGUGCUGGACUGAAUCAAGGAAUCAGAAAUACAUAUAAAAAAAUCUCAUCAAAUUUCUAACCCCAGGUAACUCCACUGAAGAGAGAGAGAGAGAGGUCACUUCUCCUAAGUGGACUAAAGUUCCUCUGAUUGUUCUGGGUUUCUCUCUUGUUUUUGCUCUCGGAGGUCUCUGCGCUCUCGGGGUGAUUUAUAAUCAUAAGCUUGCUGAUUUCGAAUCACUGAAUGAGCAGAACAUCAUGAUUUCAGAGACACUGGAGGCUCAAGAGAUCAUAAUCACAGCCAUGAAGAAAGAGUUUAAUGAUCUCACAGCCAGAUACAACACACUUCGAGAACGGCUGUCCGUUUACGAAGGUGAGUUCAGUUUACAUGCGACACCAAG